UACGAAGGGGGCUAGCGUUGCUCGGAAUCACUGGGCGUAAAGCGCACGUAGGCGGAUUGCUAAGUCAGGGGUGAAAUCCUGGAGCUCAACUCCAGAACUGCCUUCGAUACUGGGAGUCUCGAGUUCGGGAGAGGUGAGUGGAACUGCGAGUGUAGAGGUGAAAUUCGUAGAUAUUCGCAAGAACACCAGUGGCGAAGGCGGCUCACUGGCCCGAUACUGACGCUGAGGUGCGAAGGCGUGGGGAGCAAACAGG
rnacentral:rRNA from 1 species